rnacentral:rRNA from 1 species
UGGAUCCAGACUUUGAUUCUGGCUCAGGACGAACGCUGGCGGCGUGCCUAACACAUGCAAGUCGAACGGAGCUCCGCCCUUCGGGACGGAACUUAGUGGCGAACGGGUGAGUAACGCGUGAAGAACCUGCCUUUCAGUGGGGGACAACAGUCGGAAACGACUGCUAAUACCGCAUGAUGUUCUUUGGGGGCAUCUCUAAGGAACCAAAGCUUAAUGUGCUGAAAGAUGGCUUCGCGUCUGAUUAGCUAGUUGGCGGGGUAACGGCCCACCAAGGCGACGAUCAGUAGCCGGUCUGAGAGGAUGAACGGCCACAUUGGGACUGAGAUACGGCCCAGACUCCUACGGGAGGCAGCAGUGGGGAAUAUUGGGCAAUGGGGGAAACCCUGACCCAGCAACGCCGCGUGAAGGAAGAAGGCCUUCGGGUUGUAAACUUCUUUUACCAGGGACGAAGGACGUGACGGUACCUGGAGAAAAAGCAACGGCUAACUACGUGCCAGCAGCCGCGGUAAUACGUAGGUUGCAAGCGUUGUCCGGAUUUACUGGGUGUAAAGGGCGUGUAGGCGGAGGCGCAAGUUGGGAGUGAAAUCUAUGGGCUCAACCCAUAAACUGCUCUCAAAACUGUGCCCCUUGAGUAUCGGAGAGGCAAGCGGAAUUCCUAGUGUAGCGGUGAAAUGCGUAGAUAUUAGGAGGAACACCAGUGGCGAAGGCGGCUUGCUGGACGACAACUGACGCUGAGGCGCGAAAGCGUGGGGAGCAAACAGGAUUAGAUACCCUGGUAGUCCACGCUGUAAACGAUGAAUACUAGGUGUGGGAGGACUGACCCCUUCCGUGCCGCAGUUAACACAAUAAGUAUUCCACCUGGGGAGUACGACCGCAAGGUUGCAACUCAAAUGAAUUGACGGA